rnacentral:lncRNA from 1 species
UCAAAUCUCUGUCUCUCAUCUCUGUAAAUCCCUAAACCACACCACCACCACCACCCAUUUUUUACUUUCUAAGCUUUUCAUCCACAACUCAAACCCUAGCCGCCAGAUCUGUAACAUUUAUGGGGUCGGAUUUGUAAAAUUGAUCAUGUAAUUGUAAGCUCUUUAGAGACCUUUUUAUUUCAAGAUCUUGACACCAAAGUGUUCAACUUCUUCUCCCUUUCUAUCAAACAUUCAACCGUCACUUUGUUGCUAGAUCUUGAUUACCAUAGUCUAUUUUUAUAAAAAUCAUAACCAUAUAAAUACUCUACUCUUCCUCUACAAAACCGUCUAUGAAAAUUGUUAUUUUUAUAGUCCACUGUCCACCUUUGAACAUGACACAACAACCACUAAACUCCUCUCUUGUUCCUUUACAAAAUCCAACCAAAAAAAUUAGAAUCGGUCCACCUUUUUCCGGCAACCACCACUGUGCCUGAAAUCGCACCGUCGCCCUGCAGAGUUUGUAUUCCAGUUAUUUCAUCUCUUUCUUUUAGUCAUGAUUUCUUCUCACCACUUCUAUCAUACAUGUAAAACACAGGUAGAGAUUUUAAAAAUAUAUUUGUAGAUCUUGAAAAUAUAUGUAACUUUAGCAAAUGAUGUUUUUUUUUGGUACAAUAACAAAUGAUGUUUUAAAUUUGGGUCUUAAAAAUUGUUAUUUAUGAUGAUAUACUUUUUUUUAUAAAAAAGAUCAUGAUUUUAUUUUCUUUUUGGUUAAUAAGAAGAUAAAAGUGUUGGCGUUGUAUGGUUGGCCUCAUUUUGCUAAAACAUGUGAUCUUUUCUGAUGUGGAACUACAUGCUUCCACCAUCCAGUAUAAGCAAGAUGUUCGGNNNNNNNNNNNNNNNNNNNNNNNNNNNNNNNNNNNNNNNNNNNNNNNNNNNNNNNNNNNNNUGUGUAUGGUGAGAUCUCGCGCCUAAGUUCUAAAUAUGGAAUCCACAAUAAAUGUUCGUUUGUGAUAAGGAGCGUUGUCACGCAUAAUUAUUAAUGGAUCUUGUGAUCAAGUGUUGCUUGCUAAUCAGAUCUUCAAGUUAAGGAAACAAAACAUUUUAAUUGAAGAUUAUUCCUUGAAGGAACCAUUAAUCAUGCUGUGCUAUUGAAGCCUAAUUGAAGACCUAGCCUGAGCUCGUGGAGGUUAUUUAAAGAAGGUUGACUCCAUUGUUCAAUCCACUGAAACCAGAUUUGAGUCUUACAAAGCGUGAGUUUAGGUUUUAGUAUUGUGUCUAUUGUGUUCCAAGUCUUGUGUUGAUUUUCCACUAGACUAGGAACUGUGUGUUUGUGCAUUGUAAUAUCUCUGGAGCUUCUAAGCAAGGAGAUAGUGUGUGUAUAUCCUUCCAAAGCUUUUAAGCACGGAAGUGGUGUGAGUGUUUUAUGAAGUGUGUCUUCACAUAUUAAAUCUAGUAUUGUACGAUCACAGUGCCUGUGGUCAAGAGGAGGUGAGCGGAGGUUCUCAUACCUAGNNNNNNNNNNNNNNNNNNNNNNNNNNNNNNNGAAGUCAUAAACGGGAGGUUUAUUGAGGGCUUCAAACUAAUACUAUCAUAGUGGAUUCACUCCUGGAUUGGUAUCCCCCAGAGUAGGCUUAUGCUGAACUGGGUUAACAAAUUACUGUGUUAAUUUUCUUUUAGUUUGUUUAGUUUAUUAUUCCUUGUGUAUGCGCGGUUGGAUGUUGGAUCAUUGAUUCACGCAUUAAAAGUGUACUAUAGUGGUGAAGCGUUGAGUACAACAUCUUAAUACUAGUGUGCCAGAAUUUCAAAAAGUAUUUUUUUUUUGGUAUAGAUAAAAGUAAUUUUUAUGUCUACUAUAAAAAUAAAAACAAAUUUUUUGCAAAAAAAAAGCCAUAAAUUUCUCAACUAUUUCCAACAUCCAUUUAAUUCUCAACUACUCAUUUCUUAUUCUUGUCUCUUCUCUCUUAGCUAACGGUUGCAAUUCUCUCUCUCUCUCUCUUUAUUUUUGUUUGGACUAAUCUCUCAAUUUUUUAAUUUUUUUGACUAAUCUCUAUUUUUUAUUAAAAAGUUUUUUAUUGUUUCUGUAUAUAUAAAUAAUAGAAAGCCUUACCAAAAAAAUGAAAAUGAAAAAAAAAAAUCAAACUUUUUAUUGUUUCUGUGCAUGGAAAUAAAAAGCAAAAAAACAAAAUCAAUUUUUUUGGCUCUUUUAUUCUAUUUGAUUCUAGAUCUGUUAAUUUUAUUUGUUUAUUUAUUAAAAUCGUUAUUGUCUUUUUGUUCUUCUGCAACAAAUUUUUUUCAAAAAAGUAGUUGUUUUUAUUCUUCAGAACAGCAAAUAUAAUAUAAAGCUAAAAAAUAAUAUUGAGCAUCAAUAAGUGUUAAGUAGUUGUUUUUACCUCUGUUUCUUGUUUUCUUCUCAUUUUUGUUUGUAUCAUGUAUCCUGAAAGGAAAAAACAUAUUAUUGCAUUAAUUAGUGAAAAAUAAAAUGAUAACAAUGCUUUUGAUAAGUAUGCGGUGUUGCUGUUUUUUGUUUAAUGAAAAAGAAAUUAGUGAAGAUUGAUAUUCAUUUGCUUGACUUUUUAUUUAUUUUUGGAGAAGUGCAUCUUCUAAGCUCUUAUUUAUUUUCUGCAACAAAUUUUUUUUNNNNNNNNNNNNNGACAUACCUUUGUGAAGAUUUCAUUUUCUUUUAUUCUUCUUUCUCUGCAAAAUAAGAAGAACAAACAUUAGUAGUAAGGAAAAAAUAUGCAGAAGAAAAGAGAAAAUGAAAGAGAAGAUAGAACAGGAAUAUGAGUAGAUUAAGAGAGAGAAAACACAAAUUGAUUAUAAAGGGAGAAAAAGAGGGAGAAUAUGAAAUUUGAAAUUGGAAUAUUUUAAUAUUGGACAGUGUGUAAAUAGCUUAUGAAAUACCAAAUAUAACCUUGCUUUUUGAAAUUUAUCAUGCAACUUUUGAGUGGUAGAGAACUCCAAUUUUGUGGGGUUAUAAGGCAAAAAAACGGAAAAGGGCAAUUUGGGGAGAGUUGCAAAAAAGCUUUGAGGAGCAUUGUGGAGUUUAUGUGCCAAAUAUGACAAAAAUAUCCCCAUAAAAAAAAUCGUAAAGCAACAACAAAAACACAAAAAGUAAGGUUUAGAGGGACAAUACAGUAUUUUUGGUAGUAUAUUACUGUCUUGGAUUAGUAGCAGAUACACACAUUAAUGAUAUAACAACUUAUUUUAAUAAUUAUGGAAAGUGCUAAAGGUGGUUAUAGGUACCAAUCGUUAAUUUGUUCAGCGGUGAUUGACGCUGAACUUGGUAGGGAGGAUUGCGGUUCGAUCCCCCGCAACUGCGGU